UACAGAGGGGGCAAGCGUUGUUCGGAAUUACUGGGCGUAAAGGGCGCGUAGGCGGCCUGUUAAGUCGGACGUGAAAUCCCUCGGCUCAACCGGGGAACUGCGUCCGAUACUGUCGUGCUAGAGUGCGGAAGGGGCUACUGGAAUUCUCGGUGUAGCGGUGAAAUGCGUAGAUAUCGAGAGGAACACCUGCGGCGAAGGCGGGUAGCUGGGCCGACACUGACGCUGAGGAGCGAAAGCAUGGGGAGCGAACAGG
rnacentral:rRNA from 1 species